rnacentral:rRNA from 1 species
GACGAACGCUGGCGGCGUGCCUAACACAUGCAAGUCGAGCGAGAUUGUUUCUUCGGAAACAGUCUAGCGGCGGACGGGUGAGUAACACGUGGGUAACCUGCCUUAUAGAGGGGGAUAGCCUUCCGAAAGGAAGAUUAAUACCGCAUAACAUUAAGCUUUCGCAUGGAAGUUUAAUCAAAGGAGUAAUCCGCUAUAAGAUGGACCCGCGGCGCAUUAGCUAGUUGGUGAGGUAACGGCUCACCAAGGCGACGAUGCGUAGCCGACCUGAGAGGGUGAUCGGCCACAUUGGGACUGAGACACGGCCCAGACUCCUACGGGUGGCUG